rnacentral:lncRNA from 1 species
CAUCUGUCUCGGUCGGCAUUGUCGAGUCGGUGUGUAAACCUUCUUUCAUUCUCUCAAGUUCUAAGUAGGGGUGUCAAAAUGAGCUAGCUCGCUCAACUCGGCUCAGCUCAUGAUGAACUCGGACAUUUUCUGAGCUAGCUCAGCUCAGCUCAUUUAUUAGAUGAGCUUCAAUAUAUAAACUCGGACUCAGAUCAUUUUGGUCCCGAGUUAAAUGAGCUAGCUCGCGAGCUCAUAACAAAUAAUUAUAAUAACAAAAAUAACGUAAAUUUUUUUUUAAAAAAAAUAAAAUAAAUCCAAUAACAUAACUAAUUCUAAAGUUAAAUAAUGGGAAUAAAUCCAAAAAAAAAAAUAAUCUCAAAACACCAAAUAAAAAACUCAAAUAAUAAAUCCGAACAAUUAAAUUAAAUUAAUUAAAGAUAAUAGAAAUAUGAAAUGAUCAAGAAUCUAUUCCAUGUGAUAGUCUUGCUCUUGAUAUUAUUUCUAUAUUAUUGAUAUUAUCUUCUAAAAUUAAUAGGAAAAACACAAAUUUUCUAAUAGAAUAAUUCUAUUUUUGUUUAAUUUAAAUGGAAAAGAUAUAUAUGCUUCUGUUGAUAUUUUGUAUAUAUAUAUAUAUAUAUAUAUAUAUAUAUAUAUUUUUCAAAAAAAAGCCGAGCUCAUGAGCUAGCUCAUGUUCAUUAAAGCUCGCUCAUAUAACUCGCGAUCUAAAAAAAGCUCGAUCACAUAACUCAUUUAUUAAAUGAGCCUAAAAAACAUAGCUCGUGCUCAUGAAAAAUCGAGCUGAGCUGAGUCAGCUCAUGAGUUGCGAGCUCAUUUUGACACCCCUAGUUCUAAGUAAAGGUCUUUAAGCAGCACAACCUUAGAGUCCCGUAAAAAUCUUGUCAGAUUACUAUCCCUGCAAAGAUGAAUAUCCACAAUUGUGCUUCAAAACACACAAAUAUUAUCACAAUAGACUCGUAUAUAUAGCUGUAAGGAAUAAGGGAAGAAUGUUCCACAAGCGCAUUAAUCAAACGAAUAUGGGCGAAAGAAAUAAAUAGUCUUUCUCCUUUAUAUUUUAUUCCCACGACUUGAGUUAAAUAAUUUCUAAAGGAUGUUAAUGUCAUAGAGAUCGUUAAAAAAAUCAACAAUAGAUUGAUUGGCCUUUGUAUACUCCGGCUACGGUUUCGUAUCAACAUCAGCGACAGUAAUAUGUCAAAGUGGUGUGGAAAUAGUCGCUGCGACUUAGAAAAAAACGGCAAGCUGUCUAAGAAUGAAAGAUUCCAUUAUGAGAGUUAAGUCAAAGGCUUAAUCCCUACAAAAUCGCCAAUUCCAAAAGACCGAUCACGCGAUUGAGUAACCACAAAAGCAGUUAAGCAGAAUUUCAAGAGUAGAAGAGAGACACCCGACGGUGACGAACAUACCAGUGAUAGUAGCAAAACAGAGGUAAUCGAGAUGGCU